rnacentral:rRNA from 1 species
GUGUCAGCAGCCGCGGUAAUACGUAGGUGGCGAGCGUUAUCCGGAUUUAUUGGGCGUAAAGCGGGUGCAGACGGUUUUUCAAGUCGGAUGUAAAAUCUCUCAGCUUAACUGAGAGGGACCAUUCGAUACUGUUAAGCUAGAGGACAACAGAGGGAGGUAGAAUUCCCGGUGUAGUGGUGAAAUGCGUAGAUAUCGGGAGGAAUACCAGUGGCGAAGGCGGCCUCCUGGGUUGUUUCUGACGUUGAUGCCCGAAGGUGUGGGUAGCAAACAGGAUUAGAUACCCUGGUAGUCCACACUGUAAACGAUGGACACUAGGUAUAGGGAGUAUCGACCCUCUCUGUGCCGAAGCUAACGCGUUAAGUGUCCCGUCUGGGGAGUACGGCCGCAAGGCUAAAACUUAAAUGAAUUGACGGGG